rnacentral:lncRNA from 1 species
CGCACCCUUGCCUCGGGUCAUCGUCCACUUGUCGCCUCGCCAGCGCCGCCCGACCCGCGCCACCUUGUCCGCAUUGUGCUCGCCGCCCCGACGCCGACUCGCCGUCACCCGUCGUCGCCGGACUGCCGCCGCCUCGUCCUCUUCCUCGUCGGACCUCCCCGACCUCCGUCGAGCCUACUGCCAUUCCCCCUACGGCCCCAGUGAGCCUCCUCCUCGCUCCUCCCCUUCCCUCUGCUCGUUCGUCAUCGAAUGCGCCCGCGCUCAGGGCCGCACUCGCCCCGCACGGUGCGCCAUCAUGCGCGAGCACGCACCCGCCUCCCCUACGCCGUUCGCGCUCACCGCGACCCAGGGUCGUCCGUCCCGCGUGCCCCGGCUGCUGGCCUCAUACCACCGCGCCCCUGGCCGUGCCCACGAGUCCACGCGACCGCGGUGCCCCGCGCCCAAUCCACCGCCCCCUGCGCUCCGACCGGCCUCGUCUGGCCAUGCCGUGUCACCCCGCUCCGGCCAUGGCCGGCGACGCCGAGCCACGCGCCGGCGCCCUUCGCCUCCUGGCUGCGGUGCCCUGUCGGGCGGGCUGGCGCCCGAUGCCCGGUUCCGCCCUGCGCCUGUGCGCCCGCUAACCCGUCCCCGUUUGGCCCUCUCGGUCACUUCCAAACGGGGCCCACUAGCCCCAGAAUGUUUUUUUAAAAGAAAUUAAAAUAAAUAAUAAUAACAAUAAAAUUAUAUAUUAAAAAUCAAUUAAUUAACUAGUAAAGAAUUAAUUAACUUAAUUAAUUUUGAUUAAUUAAACUAAUCAACUAACUAAACUAAUUAAUCAGUUAAUUAGUUAAUUAAGUAGUCAAUGACACUGGGGCCCACCCCCCAAUUAAUCCUGUUUAGGUUAAUUAAAAUGCUUAACAAAAAUGUGUCACUGACCAGUGGGACCCAUUGAUCAGGUUGACCAGUCAACCCCUGUUGAUUGCUGACGUCAGCAUGACAUCAUGCUGAUGUCAUUAAUCCAUUUUCGGUUUAAAUUAAAUAAUUAAUUAAAUUCUGCAAAUUAAUGAAAGCUUUAGAAAAUCAUAACUUUUAAUCCGUAACUCGGAUUAAAUUAUUUUCAACAUGAAAGUUACUCAGAACGACGAGACGAAUCCGGAUACGCAACCCAUUCGUCCGCCAAACAUCCCUAGCAUAGCAAACAUGCAACUUUCCCCCUCCGGUUCAUCUGUCCGAAAACGCGAAACACCGGGAAUACUUUCCCGGAUGUUUUCCCCCUUCAUCGGUAUCAUUUACUACCGCGUUAGGGCACACCGAACACCACGUAUUGUCUUGUUACGCUUUGUGAUGCUUUGAUUGCUCUGUUAUUUAUUAUGUUCCCUCUCCGUUACUUCUUUCCGAUAGACCCCGAGACUACCGGCGACCCCCAGUUCGACUACAGUGUUGGCGACUCGUCCUUCUUGCUAGAGCUACCAGGCAAGCCCCCCCUUGAUCACCAGAUAUCGCCUAUUCUCCUCUAUACUGCUUGCAUUAGAGUAGUGUAGCAUGUUGCUGCUUUCCGUUAAUCCUAUUCUGAUGCAUAGCCUGACAUUGUUGCUACAUCUGUUGAUACCUUACCUGCAAUCCUGAAUACUUAGUAUAGGAUGCUAGUUUAUCAUCAUUGGCCCUACAUUCUUGUCAGUCUGCCUUGCUAUACUAUUGGGCCGUGAUCACUCGAGAGGUGAUCACGGGUGUAUACUAUACAUACAUAUCCUAUACAGAUGGUGACUAAAGUCGGGUCAGCUCGUUGAGUACCCGCAAGUGGUUCCAAUGUGUGGGCUGGAAGGACAGGUGGCUCCAUCCCGGUAGAGGUGGGCCCGGGUUCCCGACGGCUCCCGACUGUUACUUUGUGACGGAGCGACAGGGCAGGUUGAGACCACCUAGGAGAGAGGUGGGCCUGGCCCUGGUCGGCGUUCGCGGAUACUUAACACGCUUAACGAGAUCUUGGUAUUUGAUUUGAGUCUGGCUACUUGCCUAUACGCACUAACCAACUACGCGGGAACAGCUAUGGGCACUCGACGUCGUGGUAUCAGCCGAAGCCUUCGUGACGUCAGUGACUGAGCGGCGCGCGCCAGAUUGGACCGUGUAACGUGACUUCCUUUGUAAUGGAGGUUGCUAGGUCUGCUUCCGGCCGCGUACGCAACAUGCAGGAGUGCAAUGGGCGAUGGGCACAGACCCCUGCGCGCAUAGGAUUUAGACCGGCGUGCUGACCUCUCUAUUGUGCCUAGGUGGGGCUGUGACAUGUUGAUCUUCCGAGGCCGGGCAUGACCCAGGAAAGUGUGUCCGGCCAAAUGGGAUCGAGCAUGUUGGGUUAUGUGGUGCACCCCUGCAGGGAAGUUAAUCUAUUCGAAUAGCCGUGAUCUUCGGUAACAGGACGACUUGGAGUUGUACCUUGAACUUAUGACAACUAGAACCGGAUACUUAAUAAAACACACCCAGACAAGUUCCACAGACAACCCGGUGAUCGCUUUUCCACAGGGCGACGAGGGGAGGAUCGUCGGGUAGGAUUAUGCUACGCGAUGCUACUUGGAGGACUUCAAUCUACUCUCUUCUACAUGCUGCAAGACGGAGGCUGCCAGAAGCGUAGUCUUCGAUAGGGCUAGCUAUCCCCCUCUUAUUCUGGCAUUCUGUAGUUCAGUCCACUCAUAUUGCCUCCUUACACAUAUACUCAUGCAUAUGUAGUGUAGCUCCUUGCUUGCGAGUACUUUGGAUGAGUACUCACGGUUGCUUUGCUCCCUCUUUUCCCUCGUUUUCCUCUUCUUCUCGGAUGCCGCAACCAGACAUAGGAGUCCAGGAGCCAGACGCCACUGUCGAUGACGACUCCUACUACGCUGGAGGUGCCUACUACUACGUGCAGCCCACUGACGAUGACCAGGAGUAGUUAGGAGGAUCCCAGGCAGGAGGCCUGCGCCUCUUUCGAUUUGUAUCCCAGUUUGUGCUAGCCAUCUUAUGGCAACUUUUUUAACUUAUGUCUGUACUCAGAUAUUGUUGCUUCCGCUGGCUCGUCUAUGAUCGAGCACUUGUAUUCGAGCCCUCGAGGCCCCUGGCUUGUAUUAUGAUGCUUGUAUGACUUAUUUUAUUUUUAGAGUUGUGUUGUGAUAUCUUCCCGUGAGUCCCUGAUCUUGAUCGUACACGUUUGCGUGUAUGAUUAGUGUACGA